rnacentral:rRNA from 1 species
UACUAAAGGUGCAAGCGUUAAUCGGAAUUACUGGGCGUAAAGCGCGCGUAGGUGGUUUGUUAAGUUGGAUGUGAAAGCCCAGGGCCUACUACGUGAACUGCAUUCAAAACUGACUCACUAGAGUACGAGAGAGGUUAGUGGAAUUUCCUGUGUAGCGGUGAAAUGCGUAGAGAUGGGAAGGAACACCAGUGGCGAAGGCG